UGUUCUGUGGCUCAGUUGGUUAAAGCGCCGGACUGGGUCGUGGGUUCGAAUCUCACCAAAACAA
rnacentral:tRNA from 1 species